GGAAUUACCCCAGUCUCAGGGUCCUUUGUAGCCACUGAUUUUUGCAAUGGCAAAAGUAACAUGUUUCUUCAAUUCUCAAAUCUUUCUAAAAUUCUUUCUAAAAGAUACCAAACAAGGUUUCUGAUGCAUCUAUGUAUUUGUACUCCUGUUUAUAUAUAGCUUUAUAAUUGAGUUUUAAAUUUUUUUCCAGCUAUUCUUUGGUAAUGACCCUGCACAGUGAUCACAUGGAGGAGAAAUGCUGAUGUGAUCUAUUCACACACAUUAGUGGAUAAGCUCACUGUGAAAGACAGCGGAAGCUAAAUAAUGAAAACUCCUGAACACAAAGGAGGGAACAACAGACACUGGAGUCUACUUUGGGGGCAGGGUUGGAGAAGAAAGAGGAGCAGAAAAGGUAACUAUUGGUUACUGGGCUUAAUACCUGGGUGAUGAAAUAAUGUGUACAACAAACCUAUGUAACAGAACUUCACAUGUACCCCUAAACGUAAAAUAAAAGUUAAAGAAACUCCUUAAACCCUGUUAUGCUUUAUGAACUAGAUUUAUGUAGUAUUCUAAAUCCUUUGUUUUCAUUUUAACAGUGUUGACAGCAUCUUCCCCUGGAGUAGAUCCACCUCAAGGAAUCACUUUCAUUGCUCAUUCAUAAGAAGGAACUCUUCAUAUAUUCGGGUUUUAUCAUGAGAUUGCAGCAGUCCAAUUACAUUUUCAGAUUUCACUUCUAAUUCUAGUUCUCUUGCUAUUUCUACCAGAUGCCGUUACUUCCUCCACUGAAGCCUUGGGCACUUCAAAGUCAGCCAUGAGAGUGGGAGUUAACUUCCUUCAAACUUCUAUUGAUGACUGUUUUAUCUUGCCUAACCUGCAUCUGGAGUCACCUCAAAAGUGUCAGCAGGAGAGUUUCCACAAAGGAGUGCCCAAGCCAUCCAGAGAUGAAGCUGGUUGAGAUUCCAAAAAAAGCACUGAAUGUUGGGGUGAUCAGUCCAAAGCAUUUACUAAGGGAACUUACAGCAUGCUGCAGAAAUCCUUGCCACCAACAGCAAGAGGAAAUGGGUAUUCUACCUAGGAUGUCCACAGUGAAGGGUUCAGGGAGAUACCAUUGCCUUUCAUCAAGAAAACAUGCGGGCAUCUAA
rnacentral:lncRNA from 13 species